rnacentral:sRNA from 1 species
CUAUUACCAUCACCAUGCCUUAUUAGAGUGGGGACUAUCGGCGGUGGCUUGGGAAGUACCCAAAGUUUUAGGGGUUACAGCGAGGCCAAAAAGGCAGACAGAGGAAGCAGGUAGAGCUCUGAAAAGGUUCAGGGCCAGGGACCCACAGGGGGAGGCAGGAGUGGCAGGCACCACGAUCUGCUCUCUGGCGCUCUACAGGAAAGCACCGGGCGUCAAUGGCCUUGCGCGUCCCUUGCGCAGAGUGUGGUGCGAGGUUGGGGGGGUUACUGGGGAUCCAGGGGGCUAUCACCUUGGACACCUAUGGUGGGGGGAAGGCUGAGGAGUAAGAUAACUGGGCAGCUGGAAACUUACAGCUUUUCCCCUGCAGUGGAGGAAUGAGGAGUUUAAAGGCCACGUCCACACAGAGGGUGACAGAGGCAUCAUCUCCGCGCAGGACGCGGACUGGGGGCAGGCACGCAGGGCCACCUGGAUCCUGGAAGCGUCAAGAAGAACGCGGGCGUGCAGGCCGAGGAGGAAAUCACUGUGUUUUCGGCUCAGCAGUCUU